CCAGAUGAUCCCUCAAGCAAUCAGUAUUUUGCCCAUUCCUGUUAUCAGAAUCUGUGGAGCUCAGAUGUAAUCUGCAAUUGUCUUCAAGGUUAUACGGGUACUCAGUGUGGAGAAUGCUCUACUGGUUUCUAUGGAAAUCCAAGAAUUUCAGGAGCACCUUGCCGACCAUGUGCCUGCAACAACAACAUAGAUGUAACCGAUCCAGAGUCCUGCAGCCGGGUAACAGGGGAGUGCCUUCGAUGUUUGCACAACACUCAGGGCGCAAACUGCCAGCUCUGCAAACCAGGUCACUAUGGAUCAGCCUUCAAUCAGACCUGCAGAAGAUGCUCCUGCCAUGCUUCCGGCGUGAGUCCCAUGGAGUGUCCCCCUGGUGGGGGAGCUUGCCUCUGUGACCCUGUCACUGGUGCAUGUCCUUGUCUGCCGAAUGUCACAGGCCUGGCCUGUGACCGUUGUGCUGAUGGAUACUGGAAUCUGGUCCCUGGCAGAGGAUGUCAGUCAUGUGACUGUGACCCUAGGACCUCUCAAAGUAGCCACUGUGACCAGGCAAGAUACUUUAAAGCUUACUAGUGCACUCAAAGUGAGCAUGAUAGUGAGACAUGGUUUCUAAAUGUGUAAAGAAAGUUUCUUUUAUGUACUGUUGUUAAUUAGUGCAUUGAAACAGGAUUGGCCUUACAGGGGAUGGAGUCAGCCUCUAUCAAGGAAUGAAAACCAAAAAAAGAGAAUGAGCAUCUCAAAGUUCAGCUUCGCCUACUUCAGUUUUCUCUCUGUGACUGAGGAAGUCAGAAUUCAUACACAGUGAAACACAGACAUCAGCCUCACCUUUCACUAUUUCAUACAUGUAACUAUAGGGAAGACCUAAGAAAUAGUUAAUCAGAAGAGAUUAUUAAUCAGAAUGAAAAUAAACAGAUACCUUCAAAACC
rnacentral:sRNA from 1 species